rnacentral:rRNA from 1 species
AGCGGCGGACGGGUGAGUAACGCGUGGGUAACCUGCCUCAUACAGGGGAUAACAGUUAGAAAUGACUGCUAAUACCGCAUAAGACCACGGUACCGCAUGGUACAGUGGUAAAAACUCCGGUGGUAUGAGAUGGACCCGCGUCUGAUUAGGUAGUUGGUGGGGUAACGGCCUACCAAGCCGACGAUCAGUAGCCGACCUGAGAGGGUGAUCGGCCACAUUGGGACUGAGACACGGCCCAG